GUAGGGAAUCUUCCGCAAUGGACGCAAGUCUGACGGAGCAACGCCGCGUGUGUGAAGAAGGUUUUCGGAUCGUAAAGCACUGUUGUUAGAGAAGAACACCCAUUAUAGUAACUGAUAGUGGAUUGACGGUAUCUAACCAGAAAGUGACGGCUAACUACGUGCCAGCAGCCGCGGUAAUACGUAGGUCACGAGCGUUGUCCGGAUUUAUUGGGCGUAAAGGGAGCGCAGGUGGUCUGUUAAGUCUGAUGUGAAAGCCCACGGCUCAACCGUGGAACUGCAUUGGAAACUGGCAGACUUGAGUGCAGAAGAGGAAAGUGGAAUUCCAUGUGUAGCGGUGAAAUGCGUAGAUAUAUGGAGGAACACCAGUGGCGAAGGCGACUUUCUGGUCUGUAACUGACACUGAGGCUCGAAAGCGUGGGGAGCAAACAGGAUUAGAAACCCCUGUAGUCC
rnacentral:rRNA from 1 species